rnacentral:rRNA from 1 species
AUGCUGGAGGUAUCAGAAGUGCGAAUGCUGACAUAAGUAACGAUAAUGCGGGUGAAAAACCCGCACGCCGGAAGACCAAGGGUUCCUGUCCAACGUUAAUCGGGGCAGGGUGAGUCGACCCCUAAGGCGAGGCAGAAAUGCGUAGUCGAUGGGAAACGGGUUAAUAUUCCCGUACUGGUGAUAAUUGCGAUGGGGGGACGGAGAAGGCUAGGCUAUCCGGGCGACGGUUGUCCCGGUUUAAGAAUGUAGGCAGGUGAAUUAGGCAAAUCCGGUUCACUACAUGCUGAGGUUCGAUGACGAGUCACUACGGUGAUGAAGUAGCUCAUGCCCCGCUUCCAGGAAAAGCCUCUAAGCUCUAGAUUAUCAUUAAUCGUACCCCAAACCGACACAGGUGGUCAGGUAGAGAAUACUCAGGCGCUUGAGAGAACUCGGGUGAAGGAACUAGGCAAAAUGGUGCCGUAACUUCGGGAGAAGGCACGCUGGCGCUAGGUGAAGUCCCU